GUCGCUUCUCGGCCUUAUGGCUAAGAUCAAGUGUACUAUCUGUUCUUAUCAGUGGUAAAAGAGUGUUAAAAGAGAACGCCUGUUCUUAUUAGAACAGGAAAAGGGGCUAUUUGUUCUUGUUAGAACAGUCCUGGCGGUCCAUUAAGGACAAGAGCUGCAGAUUGCGGUGUAAAAUCGUAGCAAUGGCAGCUGCAAUUG